rnacentral:rRNA from 1 species
GUGCCAGCCGCCGCGGUAAGACGUAGGGGGCGAGCGUUGUCCGGAAUUACUGGGCGUAAAGGGCGUGUAGGCGGCCUGCCAAGUCAGCUGUGAAAUUCCUCGGCUUAACCGGGGCCCUGCGGUUGAAACUGGUAGGCUUGAGUGCAGAAGAGGAGGGUGGAAUUCCCAGUGUAGCGGUGAAAUGCGUAGAUAUUGGGAGGAACACCGGUGGCGAAGGCGGCCUUCUGGUCUGUAACUGACGCUGAGGCGCGAAAGCCAGGGGAGCAAACAGGAUUAGAAACCCUUGUAGUC